GAUGAACGCUGGCGGCGUGCCUAAUACAUGCAAGUCGAGCGAACAGAUGAGGAGCUUGCUCCUGUGACGUUAGCGCCGGACGGGUUAGUAACACGUGGGUAACAUACCUAUAAGACUGGGAUAACUUCCGGAAACCGGAGCUAAUACCGGAUAAUAUAUUGAACCGCAUGGUUCACUAGUGAAAGACGGUUUUGCUGUCACUUAUAGAUGGAACCGCGCCGCAUUAGGUAGUUGGUAAGGUAACGGCAUUCCCAGGCAACGAUGCGUAGCGGACAUGAGGGGGUCGUUGGCUAGACUGGAAGUGAGAAACGGUACAGACUCUGGCGGGGAGCAGCGGUAGAGAAUCUUACGGGAGGGGGGAGUGGGGGAUGGUGGAACGCCGCGGCAGUGAUGAUGGACUUCUGAUGGUAAAGUGAUGUAAUUAGGGAGGAAGAAAUGUGUAAGUAACUAUGCACGUCUUGACGGUACCUGAAGAGAAAGCCACGGCUAACUACGUG
rnacentral:rRNA from 1 species